rnacentral:rRNA from 1 species
GUAGGGGUGCAAGCGUUGUUCGGAAUUAUUGGGCGUAAAGCGCGUGUAGGGUGGCUAUGCAAGUCGGGGUGUGAAAUCCCUCGGCUCAACCGAGGAAGUGCAUCCGAAACUACAUAGCUAGAGGACGGUAGAGGGAGGUGGAAUUCCUAGUGUAGAGGUGAAAUUCGUAGAUAUUAGGAGGAACAUCUGUGGCGAAGGCGGCCUCCUGGGCCGUUCCUGACACUGAGACGCGAAAGCGUGGGUAGCAAACAGGAUUAGAUACCCUGGUAGUCCACGCCGUAAACGAUGAGUACUAGAUGUUGUGGGUAUUGACCCCUACAGUGCCGCCGCUAACGCAUUAAGUACUCCGCCUGGGAAAGUACGGUCGCAAGAUUA